GUGCUAGGCUCGGCAGCACACACACUAAAAUCGGAAUGAUAAAGAGAAGACUAGCAUGUGCCCCCUUGCCCAAGGAUGGCAUACAAAGUCAUAAAGCAUUCAGUGUUAUU